UACGAAGGGGGCUAGCGUUGUUCGGAAUCACUGGGCGUAAAGGGCGCGUAGGCGGCUUUUCAAGUCGGGGGUGAAAGCCUGUGGCUCAACCACAGAAUUGCCUUCGAUACUGUUAGGCUGGAGACCGGAAGAGGUGAGUGGAACUGCGAGUGUAGAGGUGAAAUUCGUAGAUAUUCGCAAGAACACCAGUGGCGAAGGCGGCUCACUGGACCGGUUCUGACGCUGAGGCGCGAAAGCGUGGGGAGCAAACGGG
rnacentral:rRNA from 1 species